CAAACAUAGUAGCUACCGCAAAGUGAACGUCCUUGUCUCCUUGAGGACCGGCAGAUUUGCUCCAUCUAUUCAUCAUUAGUAAGUAAAAAAAAAGACAGUAUGUAGGAUAAAAGGGCGAAGAAUCGAUCGUUAUCAUUCACGCCGUCCAUAUAUAAUCCAUACAGAUAAAUAGGCACUUACUCUAAAAGCCUUUUAACGUAUUGCUUCCUUGCACCUUCUUCGGCAGGAAAAAGUCCCAAAAGAGUCAAAGCUCGGGCUGUGAAUUAGUAUAAUGAAGUUUAAAAAUCAGAGUUAAAAUUAGCUGAUGUGACUAGCAUACCUUUGUUGUCAAGAGAGGCAGCAUAUGAAGCUUUUUCAUAAACAUCUAGCAUGUAUAUCGCUAGGUCUGCGGCACUUCCGGUUUGCUCGAUUUCAAAUAAUGUUUUAGCGCCCGAAUAUAGCAAUGCAACUGCAUCGUCGUGUUUCUUAGCUUUCACCUGUCUUGCUCGGUUAUUCAUUGAUCAAUAACAAACAACCUACCUAUUUACUAGAGUGCGAAGCAU